CAGCAUCUGCAGCAGGAGCCUGGGGUAGCAUGUGCUCAACACCGGGAUGUGCUGCCAGAUCCCCUCCAAGAACUGACUUGUUCCCCAGGCACUGGGAGCAUGGUGAGUACACAACCUGCAGCUGUGAGCCCCUUCCAGGAUUGGCUCAGCUGCUGAGCUGCUCACCCAAGCUCACACUUCUUCCCACAUUUGAUGACUGAUCAGUAUAGGAAUAUAAAGGCCUGGCCAUCUGGCACAGCACUGCGAGGGCCAGUCUAGCUGCAGAGGACCUGAGAGGUCAGCCCAGGCUCCCUUCCUUAGGGCGGAUCCUAGGGCUCUCCUUACUAAACAUCCCAUACUCACAACUCCUUUCCCAAAUCGGUUUCCCAGAGAACCCCAGUGCUUUCAUGUGGUUGCAGAUAUUGCCAAGAAUGAAAGCACAUCGGCUUGGUAUCCUAGGACUAGUAUGCCAGCUAAACAACGAUAAAGGAGCUACAAAUCCCGGUUUCCACAGGGGUUAUCAUGAGAAAAUUUCAUGGAAUCCAAUUUCAGCUGUAUUUCCAAUUCACCAUGUGAAUGACUCUUCAUGCUCUGCCAGGAAGCAGAGGUCUACUCUUCUGAGCAAGAUAAUUCUGAAGAGUUGAGGACCAUGAGGCGCCACUGUGGGGAGAUGAAUACCAGCCAUCAGCAGCCUCCGCCUCUGCCAGCAAGUCAAGGGGUGAGCGAGCAGCCACUGAGAAUCACAGGUGCAGAGUCACCAGGCAGGUGAGGAAGACGUGUUCCAGGGGCCCCUGUUGACAAUGAAGGACAGCCAAGUUACAAGGAGUCACCUGUUAUGCCAAGACAAUUUAUACAUAAAUCAGCCUCCACCAGGGGUGAAUAUUAGGUGGAAAAUGUGCCAGGCUAUGGAGUUUGCUCAUUGCCGUGCCAGGUAUGAAUCUGUGGCUUGAAAGAAAAAUCAAAGCAGGCAGAGGAAUGUCGGAGCAAGAACAAGGAUGCUCAGAGGGGGGCUGGGGCUUCCCAUGCCUUUUGAAGGCUCUUUCUAAUGUUCUCUUUGAGGUGUUAAAUUCUACAGCUCCUGUCCUUCUUUCAGAAGCCAGUGGCUUAGUCUCAGUACACUCAGGUGUUUUCUCUGCUCCAUGAUGAUUUAGUGGUUGCACUUUCCAGACCCCUUUCCGCUCAAUGCCCACAUUCUUUCUACACUGGACGCUAAAUUUGAUCCCAGACUGUCAUUUGUGAUGGCAUGAGGGGUCAUUGCAGCUCUGGAGACACUGAAUCAAUACCAGAGAGGUGAGUUACUGGUUUCAUGUGAUCCUUUGAGGCCAGCCUGGGACAAGACAUUUUUCUAAGCUUUAGCAACCAUGAAAGUUUCCAUGGAUUUUCUAGGACAAGGGGUCUUGAGAAGAAGCAUCGGGAAUUAGAAUCUAAUAUACAAGAGGAUCACGAAAUGCAGUAAGAGCACUGGGGCUGCAGGCUGUGGAAUCCUGAGACAAGAGAAGAGGAAACCAAGGAGGGCCGGUCAGAAAGUUGAUCUGAGACUUUACAGAGUUCCUGAGGAAUAAAGUCGAAGGAGCCCAGACCUUUCUGGACCUUUGGACGCUCCGGCAGCUAUGCAGAUAGAAGGUGUGUUCUCCUCCCCGGGCCCCUUGGCUGACAGCCAUGAUGAUAGCCGAUUCCCUUCCUUCUGAGCAACAGGGCGUCCAGUUCUCACUGCAGACUCCACCCUGCUUCAUCUACAUCUUGCUGUCCUCCAGUUCCUGCACCUCUAUGGAGCCCUUUUCAGCGUUCCCAGGUUGUCAGACGCCUCUCUGAGGGCCCUGCCCCUGGUACCGUGCCUCUAUUAGAACCUGGCUCACCGUGUCUGGCGAGGCUUUGCUCUGCUCCUCAGUGGGGCACUAGAUGGUGGAACCCUGGCGAACCAGAACUGUGCCACAGUCUUCUCUCUGUCCGUCCUCACACCUCAUAUGGAGCGUGGCAUAAACUAGGCACCAUUUGUUUGUUAAAUAAAAACAAAAUUCUUUCUCCUCAUUUCCCAUGAAAGUUGCAAUCUAAACCAGCAUAAUUAAG
rnacentral:lncRNA from 1 species